rnacentral:rRNA from 1 species
UACGAGAGGCCCAAACGUUAUUCGGAAUUACUGGGCGUAAAGGGCUCGUAGGCGGCCAACUAAGUCAGACGUGAAAUCCCUCGGCUUAACCGGGGAACUGCGUCUGAUACUGGAUGGCUCGAGUUUGGGAGAGGGAUGCGGAAUUCCAGGUGUAGCGGUGAAAUGCGUAGAUAUCUGGAGGAACACCGGUGGCGAAGGCGGCAUCCUGGACCAACACUGACGCUGAGUGAGCGAAAGCCAGGGGAGCAAACGGG